rnacentral:rRNA from 1 species
CCAAUAGCGUAUAUUAAAGUUGUUGCAGUUAAAAAGCUCGUAGUUGAAUUUCGGGGUUCUACCGUUGGUCGGGCAAUUGUCUGUACUGGCGUGUGGAAUUUCUACCUUCUGGGGAACCAUCAUGUUAUUAAUUUAGCGUGGUGGGAAACCAGGACCUUUACCUUGAAAAAAUUAGAGUGUUCAAAGCAGGCUUACGUCUGAAUACAUUAGCAUGGAAUAAUAAAAUAGGACGGUGGUCCUGUUUUGUUGGUUUCUGAAUCACCGUAAUGAUUAAUAGGGAUAGUUGGGGGCAUUAGUAUUCAAUUGUCAGAGGUGAAAUUCUUGGAUUUAUUGAAGACUAACUUCUGCGAAAGCAUUUGCCAAGGAUGUUUUCAUUAAUCAAGAACGAAAGUUAGGGGAUCGAAGAUGAUCAGAUACCGUCGUAGUCUUAACCAUAAACUAUGCCGACUAGGGAUCGGACGAUGUUAAUUUUUCUUGACUCGUUCGGCGCCUUACG